GAUGAACGCUAGCUACAGGCUUAACACAUGCAAGUCGAGGGGUAACAAGAGAAAAGCUUGCUUUUUUUGUUGACGACCGGCGCACGGGUGAGUAACGCGUAUCCAACCUGCCUAUAACUAGGGAAUAACCUUGCGAAAGUAAGACUAAUACCCUAUGAUUUCCUUUGAUGACAUCAGAUUAGGAAUAAAGAUUUAUCGGUUAUAGAUGGGGAUGCGUCUGAUUAGCUUGUUGGCGGGGUAACGGCCCACCAAGGCAACGAUCAGUAGGGGUUCUGAGAGGAAGGUCCCCCACAUUGGAACUGAGACACGGUCCAAACUCCUACGGGAGGCAGCAGUGAGGAAUAUUGGUCAAUGGGCGGAAGCCUGAACCAGCCAAGUAGCGUGCAGGAUGACGGCCCUAUGGGUUGUAAACUGCUUUUAUACAGGAAUAAAGUUAGCCACGUGUGGUUAUUUGUAGGUACUGUAUGAAUAAGGACCGGCUAAUUCCGUGCCAGCAGCCGCCGUAA
rnacentral:rRNA from 1 species